CGAGAAUGCUUUUGUAGCAAUACGAGUAGUUAUUCUAGUGGCGAACGGGUGAGUAACGCGCUUGGUGACCAUACCCCAAAGUGUGGGAUAACAGUCCGAAAGGAUUGUUAAUACCACAUGUGGUCUUCGGAUUUAGAAACUGAUGACUAAAGGAGCAAUUCGCUUUGGGAGGGACCUGCGUCCCAUCAGCUAGUUGGUGAGGUAACGGCUCACCAAGGCUACGACGGGUAGGGGACCUGAGAGGGUGACCCCCCACAAUGGAACUGAAACACGGUCCAUACACCUACGGGUGGCAGCAGUAGGGAAUAUUGCUCAAUGGGCGAAAGCCUGAAGCAGCAACGCCGCGUGUGCGAUGAAGGCCUUCGGGUCGUAAAGCACUUUUCUGCGAGAUGAGAAAGGACAGUAUCGUAGGAAUAAGUCUCGGCUAACUACGUGCCAGCAGCCGCGGUAAAACGUAGGAGGCAAGCGUUAUCCGGAUUCACUGGGCGUAAAGCGCGUGCAGGCGGUGCGGUAAGUUGGGCGUGAAAUCUCCCGGCUCAACUGGGAGAGGUCGUCCAAUACUACCGUACUUGAGAGCAGAAGAGGAAAAUGGAAUUCCCGGUGUAGUGGUGAAAUGCGUAGAUAUCGGGAGGAACACCAGUGGCGAAGGCGAUUUUCUGGUCUGUUUCUGACGCUCAGACGCGACAGCUAGGGUAGUAAACGGGAUUAGAGACCCCGGUAAUCCUAGCCGUAAACGAUGUGAACUUGGCGUUGGUGGGUUAAACUCCAUCAGUGCCGCAGCAAACGCGAUAAGUUCACCGCCUGGGGACUACGGCCGCAAGGUUAAAGCUCAAAGGAAUUGACGGGGGCCCGCACAAGCAGCGGAGCGUGUGGUUUAAUUCGAUGCUACACGAAGAACCU
rnacentral:rRNA from 1 species